UAGGGAAUCUUGCGCAAUGGGCGAAAGCCUGACGCAGCGACGCCGCGUGGGGGAUGAAGGCUCUUGGGUCGUAAACCCCUUUCGGCAGGGAAGAAGCGAAAGUGACGGUACCUGCAGAAGAAGCCCCGGCCAACUACGUGCCAGCAGCCGCGGUAACACGUAGGGGGCGAGCGUUGUCCGGAUUCAUUGGGCGUAAAGCGCGCGCAGGCGGCUCGGAAAGUCGGGUGUGAAAACUCGGGGCUCAACCCCGGGCGUGCAUCCGAUACUGCCGGGCUUGAGGCAGGUAGGGGAGAUCGGAAUUCCUGGUGUAGCGGUGAAAUGCGCAGAUAUCAGGAGGAACACCGGUGGCGAAGGCGGAUCUCUGGGCCUGUCCUGACGCUGAGGCGCGAAAGCUAGGGGAGCGAACAGGAUUAGAUACCCGUGUAGUCC
rnacentral:rRNA from 1 species